UACGGAGGAUCCAAGCGUUAUCCGGAAUCAUUGGGUUUAAAGGGUCCGUAGGCGGCCCUGUAAGUCAGUGGUGAAAUCUUUCGGCUCAACCGGAAAAAUUGCCAUUGAUACUGCAGGGCUUGAAUUAUUGGGAAGUAACUAGAAUAUGUAGUGUAGCGGUGAAAUGCUUAGAGAUUACAUGGAAUACCGAUUGCGAAGGCAGGUUACUAUCAAUUAAUUGACGCUGAUGGACGAAAGCGUGGGGAGCGAACAGG
rnacentral:rRNA from 1 species